CUUUCUGCAAGGUGCUGCAUGGUUGUCGUCAGCUCGUGCCGUGAGGUGUCGGGUUAAGUCCCAUAACGAGCGCAACCCUUAUCGUUAGUUGCCAUCUGGUAAAGCAGGGGACUCUAGCGAAACUGCCACCGUAAGGUGAGAGGAAGUGGGAUGACGUCAAAUCAGCACGGCCCUUAUGUCCAGGGCUACACACGUGUUACAAUGGUCGGUACAGAGGGCAGCUACCUGGUGACAGGAUGCUAAUCUCGAAAACCGGCCUCAGUUCGGAUCGAAGUCUGCAACUCGACUUCGUGAAGCUGGAUUCGCUAGUAAUCGCGCAUCAGCCAUGGCGCGGUGAAUACGUUCCCGGGCCUU
rnacentral:rRNA from 1 species